UCCGAGUUAGUAUAUCGGCUAGUAUGACCGCCUUUCAUGUCUCAUGAGCGCGGUAGAGACGGGUUCGAUUCCCGUACUCGGAA
rnacentral:tRNA from 1 species